rnacentral:rRNA from 1 species
GACGAACGCUGGCGGCGUGCUUAACACAUGCAAGUCGAACGGAAAGGCCCUGCUUUUGUGGGGUGCUCGAGUGGCGAACGGGUGAGUAACACGUGAGUAACCUGCCCUUGACUUUGGGAUAACUUCAGGAAACUGGGGCUAAUACCGGAUAGGAGCUCCUGCUGCAUGGUGGGGGUUGGAAAGUUUCGGCGGUUGGGGAUGGACUCGCGGCUUAUCAGCUUGUUGGUGGGGUAGUGGCUUACCAAGGCUUUGACGGGUAGCCGGCCUGAGAGGGUGACCGGCCACAUUGGGACUGGGGAUCAGCCCAGACACCUACAGGAGGCAGCAGUGGGGAAUAUUGCACAAUAGGCGUGAGCCUAAUGCAGCAACGCCGCGUGCGGGAAGACGGCCUUCGGGUUGUAAACCGCUUUCGCCUGUGACGAAGCGUGAGUGACGGUAAUGGGUAAAGAAGCACCGGCUAACUACGUG